CACCUAGCGGAGAAAAAAGAACCGACGUGUUGUCGGAAAUCGAAGAAGGUCGUGUCGGAGAAAGAGCCUACACGGCUAAUAUCUCCAUAUUAAACUCUUAAUUAAGAAGGAGUUUUUAUAGUUGUAAGAAAAAUAAGAGGCGACGCCCAACGGAGAUAAAGAAAUAAAAACCAGACGAUAAUUGCGACUUCUGUAUCGUCAGAAAAUAGUUUAUUAUGUAUAAGCUAUUUGUCGUCAGUUCCUUACGAUGCCUCGUCCAGUGUCGGAAGAUAUUCGGAAUUUAAUAAUUCAGCACAGAGAGGAGGGGAAAACCGUGCGCGAGAUAGCCGAAAUGUUUAAGGUUACCUCAUGCACGGUUGUGAAUAAUUCGAAACGUCACCGGGAAACCGGUAGCGUUUCUGCUCCCCCCCAAAAAAUCGGAUCGUCCUCGCCUCACUAACGAACAGGAGGAUGAGACAUUGAAACAAAACAAGGUUUAGUUCUAUCAGGUGUUGUCGUUUUAAAAGGAUUGCCCUAACGGUAAUCCUUUUAAAACGACAACACCUAAUAGAACUGAACUUGCUCGUAUGGUUGGACACCGUGAAAAGAAGGCAUGUAGAAUUACAGCAUACUAUGUAUUUCCAAUAUAUCAUUUUACUCAUACAAUUCAGCUUGUUUGAAAGACGAGUGACGGGAAAGCAGUGCUUGUCAUCGCAGAACAUCGCAGACCAUUUGGAGUUCACCCGCCAACGUCAACAUUGGACAAACUCUGAGUGGUAAAGUGUAUGGUUUUCCGAUGAAAAAGUCUUCCGAAGCAAUAAUAACGGAAUGGUGUGGGUCUGUCAACCAAAGGGCGAACGACUCAACAAUAAAUACAUUCAUCCCAUAGAAAGGAGUGGGCGAUUUUCCCUAGAUGCCAUGGAUGAUCUUGAUCUAUCAAGAUGGUAUUGAGAACCUGAUUUUGUCCAGUUUGAAUCAUCCCAAUCUUCAGGAAGUUCCUCCGACUCCUUGGAUAAUCUUUAUACAUUGUCUCCUUUGCUUAUUCAAAAGCAGUUCUCCAAGCAAGAGCCCAGAAUGACAACCCCUUCAUGACACCCAGUGAUCGUCACCAUACCAUUAGAAGCUAAAAUACCAGAAAAAAGUGAAACAAGUGAACAAAAUGGCAGAAGAGCGUGCAUGCCAUUUGGCAGAGGGGAGAAAGAGCAAAAGAACACCAAGAGGAAGAACACCUCUGAGAGAGAGAGAGACUGAACAAUCCUCAAGUGAAAGGAAGAAUUAAUAGAUGACAUACCCGACGAAAAAACAAAAAAAAAAA